UCCACCACGAUGCACACAAUGGGUUUGUAUCCAUCACAUCCCUUUUGGACAAGGGCCUGUAGGGCCAGGCCAAGGGGAAUGGCUUGAACCUGCCCAAGAGAGGGGAGACUGAGCUGAGCUCUGAGGCAGAAGCUGUUCCCUGGGAGGGUGCUGAGGCGCUGGCACAGGGUGCCCAGAGAAGCUGUGGCUGCCCCAUCCCUGGCAGUGCUCAAGGCCAGGUUGGACACAGGGGCUUGGAGCAGCUGCUCCAGUGGAAGGGGUCCCUGCCCAUGGAACUGGAUGGGAUUUAAGCUCCUUUCCAACCCAAACCAGUCUGGGAUCUAUGAUUCCAUGAUCAUCCCCUGUCCAUGCACUGGGUUUGCCCCCAUCACAUCACUUGUGACGGGUUCACCCUCCUGCAUCCCAACCACAGCUCUGGCAGCAGCAGGAUUCCCACAGCACCUGGUGCUGAGCACUUCCCUCUGCUUCCCCUGCAGGUCCUGAGCAGCCCCAGUGCAUGGGCCGGGAGCUGUGGUCCCCAGGACCAUGGGACACCAGGAUGUGCCCCAGGAGAGGAGCCCACUGGGGAAUGCGGCUCAAUGGGGCUGUGCAGACCUUGUCCCCCAGGCACCUUCUCACGAGGGGACACAUCCUGCUCCCCUCACACCAGCUGCAGGGAUGGCAACAGGAUCCUGGUGGCUCCGGGGACCGCAGGCACCGACAGCCGGUGUGGAUCCUGCCUGCCAGGGUGAGCCCAUGGGAUGGAUGCUGCAGCCCCAUAGCCCUGGUGCUGCUCAUGGGCCACAUCCUGACCCUGCUGUCCCACCCCACAGGUUUUACAGCCCUGAAGGGGGGAAGGAGCCUCGGGGCCGGUGCCUGCCUUGUGCCAGUGCUCCCCGCAGCACCCCAGGGUGCCGAGGCCGGCGGCGCAUCCGCAGCCCUGAAGCACUGGAGCAGCCGGUGGGGACCAAUGGGACAUGGGUGGCUCUGAUGGGUGAGGAAGAGGAGGAGGAGGCAGCAGCAGCACGAAGCGGCAGUGCUGACCAUCGUCCCGG
rnacentral:lncRNA from 14 species